GAUGAACGCUGGCGGCGUGCCUAAUACAUGCAAGUCGAGCGGAAACACUUCGGGUGUCGAGCGGCGGACGGCAGAGUAACGCGUGGGAACGUGCCCCAAAGUGAGGGAUAAGCACCGGAAACGGUGUCUAAUACCGCAUAUGGUCUUCGGAUUAAAGCUUCGGCGCUUUGGGAGCGGCCCGCGUACGAUUAGAUAGUUGGUAGGGUAAUGGCCUACCAAGUCGACGAUCGUUAACUGGUCUGAGAGGAUGAUCAGUCAGACUGGAACUGAGACACGGUCCAGACUCCUACGGGAGGCAGUAGUAAGGAAUCUUCCACAAUGGGGGCAACCCUGAUGGAGCAACGCCGCGUGCAGGAUGAAGGCCUUCGGGUCGUAAACUGCUUUUAUGAGUGAAGAAUAUGACGGUAACUCAUGAAUAAGCACCGGCUAACUACGUGCCAGCCGCCGCCGUAA
rnacentral:rRNA from 1 species